rnacentral:rRNA from 1 species
GCAAGUCGAGCGGCAGCGGGAAAGUAGCUUGCUACUUUUGCCGGCGAGCGGCGGACGGGUGAGUAAUGCCUGGGAAAUUGCCCAGUCGAGGGGGAUAACAGUUGGAAACGACUGCUAAUACCGCAUACGCCCUACGGGGGAAAGCAGGGGACCUUCGGGCCUUGCGCGAUUGGAUAUGCCCAGGUGGGAUUAGCUAGUUGGUGAGGUAAUGGCUCACCAAGGCGACGAUCCCUAGCUGGUCUGAGAGGAUGAUCAGCCACACUGGAACUGAGACACGGUCCAGACUCCUACGGGAGGCAGCAGUGGGGAAUAUUGCACAAUGGGGGAAACCCUGAUGCAGCCAUGCCGCGUGUGUGAAGAAGGCCUUCGGGUUGUAAAGCACUUUCAGCGAGGAGGAAAGGUCAGUAGCUAAUAUCUGCUGGCUGUGACGUUACUCGCAGAAGAAGCACCGGCUAACUCCGUGCCAGCAGCCGCGGUAAUA